CCCUUUUAUAAUAAUCUUUUUCUUCAAUUUUGCUUUUAGAGAACUGAAGCCAAGAUGGAUUGUAUUAGAACAGUCCCAAAAGGCAGAGUCUAAGACAGAAUCCUGGAGGAAGAUGGCAGUGAGUCCUCUGUGUCGCUGGUGCCACAUUUCUCAGUCUCAGCCGCUCCAGCUGCCUCUGACUUCAAAAGAAACUCUGAAUGAAGAGGGAGGGCACACAAUAGAAGAAGUGGUCUGAUUAUCCCCCUCUGUUUGGAAAUGACACUUGCAACAAAGAGAAUCUCGCCUAUCACCUUUACACUUUUGACGCUACGAACCAGCUAUUAUGUCCAGGGGACACUCAAGUAGCUCCCAGGAAAGUCCAUGUGACAAGGAACUGAGCUAUCUGCCAACAGCUGAUGAGGAACGGAGGCAAUCCAUGAACAUCCAGUGAGUGAGCCAUCUUAGAAGCAUACCCUCAAGUUGCAGUAAAACCUUUUGUUGAUGGCAGCUCCUGCUGACAUCUCCACCACAACCUCCUAAGAGACCUGGAGCUGGAACCACUCAGCUGAAGAAAGAAUCAUAGAUGUUAAAUGAUCUGCCUGGGAUCUCGAAGCUGGUCAGAAGCACAACCGGAAUUAGAAUGUCUAGUUUGGGGUAAAUAUGAUAGCUGGAGCUGGAGCAGCCAUACUGGGUCAAGAGACAGAGCCACAGUCGAGGAUGACAGAGCAAUUAGAGACAGCCUGCGUCCCUGAUACUAUACAGCUGCCAUACAUCAACAGUCCUGCCCACCUAAAUUGUCAGGUGAGAGAGAGCAAAGUUUUAUACUAUUUGAGCCUCUGUGUUUUGGUCUUUUUCUUUUUCUGUUUUCAUUACAGCAGCCGGAGUAGAUUUUAUCUAAUAUAGAUGUGAAGAACAAAAUAUAAGCAAAAUGGAGCACAAAUCACACAACUUCUUGUUAAAUAACCAAUCCCAGAAAUACUUUCAAUGACAAAUUAAAAAGCCAGCAUAAACAGAAUGC